rnacentral:rRNA from 1 species
CUACGGGUGGCUGCAGUGAGGAAUUUUGCGCAAUGGGGGAAACCCUGACGCAGCAACGCCGCGUGAGCGAAGAAGGCCCUCGGGUCGUAAAGCUCUGUCAAGUGGGAAAAAAAUUUUUUGAUCAAUAGUCAAAAGACUUGAUGGUACCACUGGAGGAAGCACCGGCUAACUCCGUGCCAGCAGCCGCGGUAAUACGGAGGGUGCGAGCGUUGUUCGGAUUUACUGGGCGUAAAGAGCGUGUAGGCGGUUUAGCAAGUCAGAUGUGAAAGCCCUGGGCUCAACCCGGGAAGUGCAUUUGAAACUGCUUCGCUAGAGUAUGGGAGAGGAGAUUGGAAUUCCUGGUGUAGAGGUGAAAUUCGUAGAUAUCAGGAGGAACACCCGUGGCGAAGGCGAUUCUCUGGUCCAAUACUGACGCUGAGACGCGAAAGCGUGGGGAGCAAACAGGAUUAGAUACCCUGGUAGUC